rnacentral:rRNA from 1 species
AUACGUAGGUGGCAAGCGUUAUCCGGAAUUAUUGGGCGUAAAGAGUGAGUAGGCGGUUUCUUAAGUUUGGAGUGAAAAACAGUUGCUUAACGACUGUUUGCUUCAAAAACUGGGAAGCUAGAGUGCAGGAGAGGUUAACGGAAUUCCAUGUGUAGCGGUGAAAUGCGUAGAUAUAUGGAGGAACACCAGUGGCGAAGGCGGUUAACUGGCCUGUGACUGACGCUCAGUCACGAAAGCGUGGGGAGC